rnacentral:tRNA from 1 species
GCGGCAUUCGAGCAGCGGCAGGGUCGAGGAGGUCUCGAGCACCGCCAACAGCCGAGCGAAGCGUUCGGAGCGCAGAUGCCGUUC